GUCUUCGUGGUGCAGUGGUCAGCACGCUCGGCGCGUAUUCGAGAAGUACGUGGUUCAAGUCCCGGCGAGGGCA
rnacentral:tRNA from 1 species